GACGGCUCGGCAAAAAAUUAUCAAUAAUUACUUAAGUGACGCUAUUAGAAGAGUACUAGUGUAACCAGAUAUUAAUACCAAUAAUACCACGGGCAGCCCUUAUAGUAUUGAUUUUAAUCGGUUCAGACGAUCCAGUGGUCCAGAAAUAGGUUUUUAGACUAAUAAAUUAUGCAAUACUUGUAUAGGUGAAAAGGCAUUCAAAGAGCUGUCAGUUGAUUUACAAAAAGCGUACACAAUAUAAAAUUACUGACAACGAAUGUAUCCUAUGUAGAUGGUGAUUCUAACUUUGGCCAUUGAAUGGUGUGGCACAUAAAACUGGACUAGAUCCCGCGUGGCUGCGCAGAAGUAGAUAUAGACAUUUUAAAUUGAUAUACACGAGUGACAAGUACAUUAUUUAUACAAAAAUAAGUUUCUCGUAUUUUUAUUAAUGCUACUUGUAUAACACAGAAUGAUCCAUCAAGCAUUUUUGGAGUUUUUAAGUAUACUUAA